GCCCAGGUGAAGAUGGCAGAACUCCCAAGAAAGGACCAGGAUCACAGAUCACCUGGUGCAAAACAGCUCUGUUGGAGAAUCACAGGACACUUUGUGAGAGCAAACUACUAAUUCAGGGAGGUGUGAAGUUCCUGAAGGUUCAAGACACUGAGGCAGCCACAACAGCACAACUAAAGACAAUCACAAAAGAAGACUUCUAGAACUGCUUCAGAAAAUAGCAAGAAUGAUGGAACAAGUGUGUUUCAAGUUGGAGGUAAUGUUUUCAGGAGGAUUAAUGGUAAUGUGUCUUUUACUGUA
rnacentral:lncRNA from 1 species